rnacentral:rRNA from 1 species
GCACGGGUGCGUAACGCGUGGGAAUCUACCCUUAGGUUCGGAAUAACUCAGAGAAAUUUGAGCUAAUACCGGAUAAUGUCUUCGGACCAAAGAUUUAUCGCCUUUGGAUGAGCCCGCGUAAGAUUAGCUAGUUGGUAGGGUAAAGGCCUACCAAGGCGACGAUCUUUAGCUGGUCUGAGAGGAUGAUCAGCCACACUGGGACUGAGACACGGCCCAGACUCCUACGGGAGGCAGCAGUGGGGAAUAUUGGACAAUGGGCGCAAGCCUGAUCCAGCAAUGCCGCGUGAGUGAUGAAGGCCUUCGGGUCGUAAAGCUCUUUUACCAGGGAUGAUAAUGACAGUACCUGGAGAAUAAGCUCCGGCUAACUCCGUGCCAGCAGCCGCGGUAAUACGGAGGGAGCUAGCGUUGUUCGGAAUUACUGGGCGUAAAGCGCGCGUAGGCGGCUUGCCAAGUCAGGGGUGAAAUCCCGGGGCUCAACCCCGGAACUGCCCUUGAAACUAGCAGGCUAGAAUCUUGGAGAGGUCAGUGGAAUUCCGAGUGUAGAGGUGAAAUUCGUAGAUAUUCGGAAGAACACCAGUGGCGAAGGCGACUGACUGGACA